rnacentral:tRNA from 1 species
GAAAUAUAUUUAUAUUAUACUAAAGCCGCUAACUUAUAGUAAUAGCGAUUAAAUCCGUUAAUAUUUCU